CAGUAGCCGGAAACACGUGACCUCCACAGUAACCGGAAACACGUGACCUCCACAGUAGGCAGAAAUACAUUCCUGCGUGGAUCAUCGACUGUGGAAAUCUUGCAAGUGGAUCGUAAAGAUGCUCAUAUCAAUUUGGAGUUCUGCCUCCAAUCCAGAAUUGCAGGAAUGCACAACAUGUUGCAGAAGACUCUUUCACUGCCCUCUGUGCCCCACUUUCAGCCCUACUCUCAAGGCAAAGAUUGAGGAGCAUAUAAAUGGACACAUUAAAAAUGCUUUGCCUUUCAAAGACAAAAUGAUAUACCAGUGCACUUUCACUGCCCUGUCUGUAACAUGACAGUCAUACAGCGUUGGGAUAUGGCAAGGCAAUUUUUCUCAUGUCAGCAUUCAGGACUGCUCCCCACUGAACUCUCCGAGGAGCCCCAUCUCCCUCUCGAUGUCUUGUCUCCAGUAUCUAAACCAUUUUCUGAAUCUUCAGUAGAACAUUCAUGUGCUCUACCCUCUGUGCUAAAUGAAACUGGCUUGUGGAAAGUCCUUGAAAAUGAAACGCCCUCACUGUGGUCUUAGUCUUCUU